rnacentral:tRNA from 1 species
GCGUUCGUAGCUUAAUAUGGAUAAAGCACUGGCCUCCGGAGCUAAAGAUUUCGGUCCGAAUCCGAACGAGCGCA